rnacentral:antisense_RNA from 1 species
CUUCACCGAGCCGAGCCACAGCGGCCGCUCGGGGUCGCGGUCCUGUCCGUAGGUGGCGAGGAUGGCCUGCGCCUC